GACGAACCGUGCGAACGUUAUUCGGAAUCACUGGGCUUAAAGCGUGUGUAGGCGGACGGGCACGUCGGACCCUGAAAGCCCCCGGCUCAACCGGGGAACUGGGGCCGAUACGACCCGUCUGGAGGGACGUAGGGGGACCUGGAACUUCCGGUGGAGCGGUGAAAUGCGUUGAGAUCGGAAGGAACGCCCGUGGCGAAAGCGAGGUCCUGGACGUCUGCUGACGCUGAGACGCGAAAGCCAGGGGAGCGAACGGG
rnacentral:rRNA from 1 species